rnacentral:lncRNA from 1 species
ACUUUUAUAAAUGCCCUACCUGAAAUAUUUUCUUUUAUUUUUUUUUAAUUUCAUCAAACUAAAAACUGUUAAAUAUAAAAAUGUUUAAACACCGUUCUCUAACAGCUUAAGCUUUUAGAGUACAACGGUUGUUUCACAUGGUAUCAGAGCAGGAGGUCCUGAGUUCGAGUCAUGCCAGGCUCCUAGCAUAUUAAUUUCCUCCCAUUUAAUUCAAGCCCACGUCAUGGGCCGAUUAAAAAGUCUGGAGUCCAGAUACGUGAGGGGGAGUGUUAAAUAUAAAAAUAUUUAAACACCGUUCUCUAACAGCUUAAGCUUUUAGAGUACAACGGUUGUUUCACAUGGUAUCAGAGUAGGAGGUCCUGAGUUCGAGUCACGCCAGGCUCCUAGCAUAUUAAUUUUCUCCCAUUUAAUUCAAGCCCACGUCAUGGGCCGACUAAAAAAGUCUUAAGCCCAGACGUGAGGGGGAGUGUUAAAUAUAAAAAUAUUAUGCUUAAGCUUUUAGAGUACAACGGUUGUUUCAUAUGGUAUCAGAGCCGAAUACUAGCCAGACAAAGUGCUACACCAACGGAUUUGGUGGGAGCCACCUCUUGAACCUGCAGGAGCCACCUCUAGAAUCUGACAUCGGCUGGUAAUGGUCCUGGUCUGUCUGUCUAUGAUCUGGUUUGGACUCUAUGAUCUGGUUUGGACCCGACGAGGACGUCAGGGUUUAAACAGGGGGAGUUUGUAACGCACCAAUAGUCCCACAUCAUAUGGGAUACUAAUUUCAAUCAGUUUAUAUGAGACCUACACGCUAAUAGUAAUAACUUGGCUUAAGCAUUUUGGGCCAGUGGUUUGGGCUCAACGAGUUAUUGUUGCUAGCGGGUAGGGUCGUUAAAAUUGUUAAGCUUUUAGAGUACAACGGUUGUUUCACAUGGUAUCAGAGCAGGAGGUCCUGAGUUCGAGUCACGCCAGGCUCCUAGUAUAUUAAUUUCCUCCUAUUUAAUUCAAGCCCACGUCAUGGGCCGACUAAAAAGUCUCGAGCGGGGAGUGUUAAAUACAAAAAUGUUUAAACACCAUUCUCUAACAGCUUAAGCUUUUAGAGUACAACGGUUGUUUCAUAAAAACUUCUUCUAAAAGGUCUAUAUGUAAUUUUUGUUUAAUUUAU